CCUCAGAGCUUUUGGGAAGCUAUACGUUCCUGGCCCCGAGGUAAAGCUCCCACAGGCUGCUUGACCCAACAGAGCAGCUCCUACCCACUGGGAUUCUCGGUCUGCAGGAAUCUGGCAUCCACCUGGGAAUCUCAGCCUCUCCCCUAAACCAGAACAGACUCACAGAGUGACCCAGUGGAAGGGGCCUCAGAAGACAUCCAGUUGAGUCUCUUCCGUCACUGAACAGAUGAGGAAACUGAGGCUCAAAGGGAAACGUCCCCAUGGCAGGGAGCAUCUGGCUGAGGCAGCCUGGAGACAGGCACGCACCAGAAGACUUCUGGUUCCAUCCAGGCCCAAGGACCACUGAACUGGAGCGGUCUUCUCCAUCCCCCAGCAAGCCUGUGCGUGAGCUGGGGACAAGGGGCAGAGGAGGCAGAGGUCCCCCUCACACCAGGAAGGGAACAGCGCCACUAAAGGGCCUGGUGGAGGCAGGGUGGAGGUGGAAGGAGACUCAGCAGAAGGGGUGAG
rnacentral:lncRNA from 1 species